AUACGAAGGGGGCUAGCGUUGUUCGGAAUUACUGGGCGUAAAGGACGCGUAGGCGGGUUGGCAAGUCAGAUGUGAAAUCCUACAGCUUAACUGUAGAACUGCAUUUGAAACUGCUAACCUAGAGUAUGGGAGGGGGAGAUGGAAUUAGUGGUGUAGGGGUAAAAUCCGUAGAUAUCACUAGGAAUACCGAAAGCGAAGGCGAUCUCCUGGAACAUAACUGACGCUAAGGCGUGAAAGCGUGGGGAGCAAACAGGAUUAGAAACCCUAGUAGUCC
rnacentral:rRNA from 1 species